AACGAACGCUGGCGGCGUGCCUAAUACAUGCAAGUCGAACGCAGUGGGGACGGGUGAGUAACACGUGGGUAACCUCCCAUCAGAGGGGAUAACACUUGGAAACAGGUGCUAAACCGAUACUGAUGGAUGGACCCGCGGUGCAUUAGCUAGUUGGUGAGGUAACGGCUCACCAAGGCCGCGAUGCAUAGCCGACCUGAGAGGGUGAUCGGCCACACUGGGACUGAGACACGGCCCAGACGCCUGCGGUAGGCAGCAGUAGGGGAUGUUCGGCAAUGGACGAAAGUCUGGCCGAACAACGCCGCGUGAGUGGAGAAGGUUUUCGGAUCGUAAAACUCGGUUGUUAGGGGAGCGGUAUCUGGCCAGAAAGCCACGGCUAACUACGUGCCAGCAGCCGCGGUAAUUC
rnacentral:rRNA from 1 species